GGUCUAUGGCUCCCCGUGGGUCACCUUCCUGGCUGGGGAUGGAACUGGGGCUCCAGAGGCUGUGGAUGGCUUCACAGUGUGGUGCUUAACCCCUUCCCCACCAGGGUGGCCCUUAGUCAUGCUUUUAUGUCAGCUUCAGGCAGCAGGCUUAACUGCUGUACUUACCAGAGAAAAUUCCUGGAGAUCUAGAACAACUGGUGAGGAGAGGAUGCCUCGGCAGUGCCUGCAGCAUUGUUCAGGGUGGUCCCCAGGAAAGGGGGCAGUUCCAGGUUUCCUGGCCCACCCAAGGGAGGGUGGAGCUGAGCGGAGAAAAGAAGCUGCAGAGGAGACUGAGGAAGGAAGAAGGAUGGAGCCAGAAGGAGACCUGGAGGAGGCACAUGGAGCCUAGAGACACGUGAAGAAACUGUGCUUGUCUUUUGGUCGUGGACGGGGUGACACAGAUGUGGGUGAGACCCGUAGGGAGGUGACAAUGGCAGCUUUUAUCUUGAUUUUGAUUUUGCUCUUUUCCUUCCGGGCUUGUCUGGUUGUUUCUGACCCUUUUCUGUGGGUCCCCCAGGAAGAUGCUUUAGACUUGUGGCAGGCUUUGGGGCCUUACUCUGGGCCAAUCCCAUUUGAAUGGAGUUUUACCCACGAGGGAACAGGUAACUUUGGGUGCUUGAUUUAGAAACCAGAUUCUUUGCCUUUCCUGUAUUGUUUCCUAAUUGUAUUAAAGUUCC